AAAUGUUGUCCGAGGCUUCGUUGAGGAGAUAUUAAUGGAAAACGCCGACCAAUCAGAGCGCGAGUAUAGCGGCGGAGGGCGGUCGCCUAGCUCGUAGUCCACGCCUACCACGGGCGGUCCAACAGCAUACGCGCGCUGUGAUUGGUCAAUGUUUUCCGUUAAUAUCUCCUCAACGAAGCCUCGGACAAUAUUUUCGCUAAGGAAAAAGUUGUUUCAAAUCAUCUCCCGAACCACCCCUUUCAAGGUGUUACAAUAUUUUCGGGACACCCUGUAUUUUCAUAUGUUUGUGGGUAUCAAUACAAUAUUUUCGAAUUUUCUUAAUCUAAGCUUACGUGGUUGUUACGAGCCAGAGGGGGCUGCCGGCGUAGCCGGGGCUUUUCUAUUGGAAUAUGGUUUUUUGUUAAUGGCUUGACCAGUGUUGUUAGGUAACACUGGGUACCUUGGGGAAGUAGACGCGGAUACGAACCUUCGUAUGGCUAACGUAGGGAGCUCCAGGAGGUUGGUUAUCGAAGACAAAUCCACGUAUGGCUAACGUAAGGAGCCUCAGGAAGGUGAUAUGCGGACGAACCCACGUAUGGCUAACGUGAGGAGUCGCAGGAAAUGUUAGUAUUAGGCCUCGUAACAGUUUUUGAUGUACUUCGAGCGGCAAAGGAAACGUGAAUGCAGCUUCGUAUUUAAGAUUUCUAGAAACAGAAUUAUCUAAUGUUUUAGAUGAAAUGCCAAUAGUACAAAAACAAAGUCUUUGGUUUCAACACGACGGAGCUCCUCCCCAUUUCGCUACAACAGUUCGUAACUGAUUGAAUAUUAAUUUUGAAAAUAAAUGGAUUGGGCGUGGCUAUUUAAAAGGACUAGUGUAUCAAACACCAGUAGAAGACGUAAAUGAUUUACGAACAAAAAUUAUGACUGCAUGUAAGUCAGUAUCGGAGGAAAUUUUAAAAGCUGUUGAGAAACAAUUUUUAAGAAAAUUACAGAUGUGUAUUUCCAACGAUGGUGAGCACGUAGAAGGAUAAAAAAUUAUUGAACAAUAAUUUGAUACGGACACAACCGACGCUGCUCAGCAGCGUUUGCUAGCUCUCAGCCGCUUACGUUAAGAAAAUUUUCAAGUAAUAAAGUAAAAUUACUCGUUACCUAUUAGGUUUAGGGCUAAUAAAGGUCAACACUUUUUUAUUUAGAAUUCGAUACUCUACUACAUUCUUGUAUACAAAAUAUAGCAUUCCAUUUAAAAAAAUUACAUUGACCUCCAAAUCUCCUCUAUUACUCCACCCACAAAAGAACAAUUAUUACUACAUGAUGUAGCCCGUCAUACCAAACAACUUUUGUAGGAACAGAUUUGUAAUAACUACAAUAUCUUCCGAGAUAUCCUGCUGUACUCACUUAAAAGAAACACCCUGUAUAUUCUGAUAUGCACCGGAAUUUACAAUUGUUAUGAGAUGUGACGUUCGCAUAUCGACCGUCCUAACCAGGGACAUAUUUUUCCCUUGUAAUGAGUUAAAGGCAGAUGUAGUAUUUGUAUAUUCGAACGUCACCCUAUAUUUUAGACUGAGAAGCGUUUAGCAAGUAAGAAAGAACCUAAGCGAUAACAGCUAUAAAUCACUGUAUGGUGUUUCUUUUCGUCGUCUAUUAUUCAAAUAAAAUCUUACCCAUCUUUUGCGAUUACACUGAUAUUUAAAGUUGCGCAGGAGCCAAACUAGCGCCACCAACGAAGAGCAACGGAGAAUAGGUGAACUACGAAACAGUUUUUCGCGUUUUUUAUGCAUAAUAAUGAAAACAAACACAUCAUGAUUAUGCAUUUCGUAAUCAGGGGAAGUAAAUCUAUCGACCUAUCAAGAGUUUGUUUCGAAAAUAUGUAAACAAAAAAUUUGUUCCUUAAAAACAUAUUUUUAUCAUAUUUUAAAGGUGAAAUUGCAAAAUCCUGCGUUAGAGUGGCAUGCGGAGUGAUGUAAAAAAUAUUUUAGAAAAAGAAUCGUGAGAAAAUAUUGCUUCCUCGCUUCAAAAAACUUGAUGAGCUUCGUUGCUGUGAAAUCUUGAUGAUUUGUAUGGCAAUAUGGCUGCUCCGCUAUCACGCUGUCCACUGCAGCGCUGCUGUCGUCUCUGCUGCGGUUGUUGCGCUAGUAGUCUAAUACGCUUUUCAUCAUGGUUCAGUAUCGUAGUAAGUUUAAAAAAUGUCCGCGGUCAUACAUUUUUCUUUUAAGUAGGUGUGUAUAUAUAGAAAUUGGUAAGAAAUAUUAUGUACGUGUAAACUAACUUGGAUUGAUUACAAUAGAUUGAAAAAAUUGUCUUUUUCGAUGAUGAAAAAAGUAGGUAUAGCUAGUAUGAACGUAAUAAGAUAGACAAAAGCAUACGCAUAAUGAUGUAUAAGUGUUAUUGGAAAGAAUAAAUGGUAAAAGUGUAGUAUAAAUAUAAAUUUAAUAAUGGAAAAUAAGCAAUAUAUCUAUAUUUAUCUAUAUCUAUAUAUCUAUAUUUUAAAUUUAAAUUUAUAUGAAAAUAUUUAUAUUUUAUUAUUUAAUGUUAUAUUAAUAGUUUUAUCGAUACUUUUUGUAUCUUUAGAUUUAAUAAACUUUUAUUUUUAUUAUGGAGUAAGAUUAAUUUUAACAUUUAUA